rnacentral:rRNA from 1 species
CAAUAGCUACUUGCAUCAUUAUAAAGGUGAUGCAAGAUCGACUAUGUCGAAUAAAAUUCUAGGUAGAAUUAUGAUAAUGACAUUGUCUGCCUAUGUGUCUUGACCAAAUUACGUGCCAGCAGUCGCGGUAAUACGUAGAAGACUAGUGUUAUUCAUGUUUAAUCGGUUUAAAGGGUACCUAGACGGUAAAUCAAGCCUAAAAAAAAAUAAUUGAAGGGACUAAUUUGCUAGAGUUACUUAUGAGGGGGUAUUAAAGUACUGCUGGUGUAGAGAUGAAAUUCUGUCAUACCUCUUUUCAAUAGAAAAACAAUGGCACAGGUAUAGGCGAAAGCAUCCCCUUAUGUGAUAACUGACGUUGAGGGACGAAGGCUUUGUGUAGCGAACAGGAUUAGAUACCCCAGUAGUCAAAGCAGAAAAUGAUGAAUGUCAUAGAUUAGAUAUAUAAGUUUAUUCUAUAAAUGAAAGUGUAAGCAUUCCACCUCAAGAGUAAUUUGGCAACAUUGGAACUGAAAUCAUUAGACCGUUUCUGAAACCAGUAGUGAAGUAUGUUGUUUAAUUUGAUGAUCCGCAAAAAACCUUACCACAAUUUGAAUAUUUAUAUCUAUUAUUGUUUUUUCUUCUUAUUUUUUAAUUAAAAACAAUAAUUAAGAAGAAAAAUAAGAAAAAGAGGCAUA